rnacentral:rRNA from 1 species
GACGAACGCUGGCGGCGUGGAUUAGGCAUGCAAGUUGAGCGACGGAUAGUCUUCGGACUAUUACGGAGCAGCGAACGGGUGAGUAACACGUGAACAAUCUGUCCCUUCAUUCCGGAUAAUUGGGAGAAAUCCCUUGUAAUACGGGCGAGGGUCCUUGGGGUGCAUACUUUGAGGAAGGAAGGCGCAAGCCGUGCAGGGAGGAGUUCGCGGCCUAUCAGUUAGUUGGUGGGGAACGGCCGACCAAGACUACGACGGUAGCUGGUCUGAGAGGAUGGUCAGCCACAUUGGAACUGAGACACUGUCCAGACUCCUACGGGAGGCUGCAGUCGAGAAUCUU